UAGGGAAUAUUGCACAAUGGAGGAAACUCUGAUGCAGCGACGCCGCGUGAGUGAUGAAGGACUUCGGUUUGUAAAGCUCUGUUGUCAGGGAAUAAAAAAAUGAAUGUACCUGACGAGAAAGGACCGGCUAACUUCGUGCCAGCAGCCGCGGUAAUACGAAGGGUCCAAGCGUUGUUCGGAAUCAUUGGGCGUAAAGCGAGUGCGGGUGGCUCUUUAAGUCAGGAGUGAAAGCCCAGGGCUCAACCCUGGAAGUGCUUUUGAUACUGGAGAGCUUGAAUGUGGCAGAGGGUGCUAGAAUACCUAAUGUAGUGGUGAAAUACGUAGAUAUUAGGUGGAACACCGGUGGCGAAGGCGGGCACCUGGGCCAACAUUGACACUUAGACUCGAAAGCGUGGGGAUCAAACAG
rnacentral:rRNA from 1 species